CAAAACCCUAUAUAUGUUUUCCUCUCAUGCGUUGGUUUUGCUUCGGAGCUCUUCCAACAGAUUUGAGGUGCAAACAUCUCAUGGAAGUCGAUUCCUUCAAUUUGAGUGUAGCUUUUAGCAACAAGACAACUUUUGCAAUGCUCGAUGCUCUCAUCCAAUUUAUACUUGACUUUGUAAACCCAUUUGGAAUCAAUAACCUUCCUUUCAAGAGGUAAAUAUUCUAAAAUUCAAGUAUUAUUUGCUUCUAAUGCAGAAAUUUUCUUAGUCAUUACAUCUCUCCGAUGUUGAAAUUUGACUGCUUGAGAAAGUGACUUUGGCUCAUCAUUUGAUGUAAUGGCCACUAGAAAAGUAGUGUUAGUAGCAGAAAAGUUUGAAUAAUAAAUAAAUUGUGAAAGAUGAUAUAUCGUCAAGUUUGUUAAUAAAAGAGGGGAGAGUGAUGUACAAUUUGUGGGAGCAAAA